AGCGAACGUUUAGCGGCGGGCCUAACACAUGCAAGUCGAGCGAGAAAGUGGCUUUUUCGGCCAUUCAGUAAAGCGGCGGACGGGUUGAGUAACACGUAGGUAAUCUUCCCUUGAGCGGGGACAACGAGGCGAAAGCCUCGCUAAUACCGCAUACGUUUUUUCGAGACUCUGGUCUUUGAAAAGGAAAGCUAGGCCGCAAGGUCCGGCACUCGAGGAGGAGCCUGCGUCGCAUCAGCUAGUUGGUGGGGUAAUGGCCUACCAAGGCGAAGACGCGUAGCUGGUCUGAGAGGAUGAUCAGCCACACUGGGACUGAGACACGGCCCAGACUCCUACGGGAGCAGCAGUGGGGAAUAUUGGACAAUGGGCGCAAGCCUGAUCCAGCCACGCCGCGUGAGUGAUGAAGGCCUUCGGGUCGUAAAGCUCUGUGGGGAGGGACGAACCGCCGUUGGUGCAUAGCCAACGGCAUGACGGUACCUCCUUAGCAAGCACCGGCUAACUUCGUGCCAGCAGCCGCGGUAA
rnacentral:rRNA from 1 species